rnacentral:lncRNA from 1 species
ACUGUUAUCCCCCUCACAGACCAACACACACCCGACCAAAGCCUCUCCAUUCUCCUCUCACAGCCCCCAAAACCCCCAAAACCAUUUUUCCUUCUCACAGCCGACCCCAACAGCUCCAUCGCCGGCCUUGACCGACUAUCCCCUACAGACCCGAACCAGAACCUCCACAUCCACCGACAGUACCCCCCCCUUUGGUUUUUUUUUAUCUUCUCCUUAGCUCUGAUCUGCUCAAGCCGCCGCUCCCUCCCUUGAAAACAAAACUCUGUCCCAAAACAGCCGCUUCCCCCACUUGACCCAUCAACACCGAAGCCCCCUUUCCUUGGCAGCAUCUUCUUCUUCGGUCUUCUCAACAGCGAAGGGCCAAGUCAACAGCGCCUUCUUCUCCCUUGGCCGACUACCAACAGCAACGGAGAAGCAGCACCCACAGGAGCCCCCAGCAGCGCCCACGGACGACACCGCCGGUGCAGAAUGAAGUAGGAGUAAGGCCGCCGAUCCUCCACACGUCUGGUCUGUCAGCGGCGUGUGUAGAAUCUGUUCUCCUCUCGCCCACAGGCACAGAGUAUCCGCAGAUCUGCCCUCCAAGCGGCAGCCCCCCCCAUACGGCGUCGCCUGCCGAUCCGGCGCCAUUUCCCACAGAAGACCACCACCGGCAGAGAAGGGAAGGGAGAAGAAGCCGGCAGCCACCUGAAACAGAGGAGAUUAGGAAAGAAAAAGAAACGAACAGAUCUGCCCAAACGGAGAAAAAGAGAGACAGAUCCGAAAACAAGGAGGAAGAAAUUAAAACCUACUGCCUUGUGUGUUUUUUCUCCUUUUGCAGGUGACAGUGAUUCUCACUGCCGGUGAGGGGAAGAAGAGGGGAAGCCGCGACUGACCCCCUGUUGUUUUGGAGUUCCAGCGGUGGCGCGUGAACCCACGCGCCACCAGUGACGAUGCGCGCGGGGAGCAACGCGCCACCAUUGUUCCAGCACUGUUCCCGCGCCCAAAAAACUUCCCUGACACUGUUCCAACUGUAGAGGGCUAUCCCUGUAAUUUCAGAUAGUUUUAGGGCUAAUUUUUGUAAUUGUAAAAAUUGUUUAAUGUAUUUUUUGUUUAGUUGACUUUUUUAUAAUUUGUAAUGUUGAUGUAACAAAAAAAGAAAGAAAAAGAAAAAGAAAAGAAAAGAAAAAGAAAAAAUAUAGUGAAAGUGUAUAUGUGUUUUGUAUUUUUUUUUUAUGUAUGUUAUUGAAUCAAAAAAUGAAUUUAAUAUUUUUAAUUUAUAUGCACAAAUAUCUAAAGGACAGAUAAAAAUCAUGUUGUACUUCCCAUAAAAAUGUAGAACAUGUGUCUACAUACGUUUUGGGAACUAAUAACUGAUUUAUCAAAGCCUUAGAAUUGGGCUAAAAUUUUAUUUUUAAAACGCAU